CAGUCGCCGCGGGAAUACAGAGGAUGCAAGCGUUAUCCGGAAUGAUUGGGCGUAAAGGGCUCGCAGGCGGUUUCUUAAGUCUGAUGUGAAAGCCCCCGGCUCAACCGGGGAGGGUCAUUGGAAACUGGGAAACUUGAGUGCAGAAGAGGAGAGUGGAAUUCCACGUGUAGCGGUGAAAUGCGUAGAGAUGUGGAGGAACACCAGUGGCGAAGGCGACUCUCUGGUCUGUAACUGACGCUGAGGAGCGAAAGCGUGGGGAGCGAACAGGAUUAGAGACCCCAGUAGUCCCUGUCUCUUAUAC
rnacentral:rRNA from 1 species